rfam:Marinobacter sp. AC-23 IonXpress_010_rawlib.basecaller_c1, whole genome shotgun sequence.
UUCAACUCAACGGGGUGCCAGGCAAAUGCCAGGCUGAGACCAUACCCGCGGAACCUGAUCCGGAUUAUGCCGGCGAAGGGAUUGAGCACUCACCGGCU